UACAGAGGUCCCAAGCGUUGUUCGGAUUCAUUGGGCGUAAAGGGUGCGUAGGCGGGGCGGUAGGUCGGGGGUGAAAUCUCGGAGCUUAACUCCGAAACUGCAUUCGAUACUGCCGUGCUUGAGGACUGGAGAGGAGACUGGAAUUUACGGUGUAGCGGUGAAAUGCGUAGAUAUCGUAAGGAAGACCAGUGGCGAAGGCGGGUCUCUGGACAGUUCCUGACGCUGAGGCACGAAGGUCAGGGGAGCAAACGGG
rnacentral:rRNA from 1 species